rnacentral:rRNA from 1 species
CAGCCGCCGCGGUAAUACCGGCGGCCCGAGUGGCGGUCACUAUUAUUGGGCUUAAAGCGUCCGUAGCCGGGUUGGGAAGUCCUCCGGGAAAUCUGGCCGCUUAACGGUCAGAAUGCCGGAGGAUACUCCCAGCCUAGGGAGCGGGGGAGGCCGAGGGUAUUCCCGGAGUAGGGGGGAAAUCCUAUAAUCCCGGGAGGACCACCUGUGGCGAAGGCGCUCGGCUGGAACGCGUCCGACGGGGAGGGACGAAGGCCAGGGGAGCAAACCGGAUUAGAUACCCGGGUAGUCCUGGCUGUAAACGAUGCGGACUUUGUGUCGGACAAGCUAUGAGCUUGUCCGGUGCCGGAGGGAAACCGUUAAGUCCGCCGCCUGGGGAGUACGGCCGCAAGGCUGAAACUUAAAGGAAUUGGCGGG